ACGCUCGACACCUACUGGAGGCAGCAGUGGGGAAUAUUGCACAAUGGGGGAAACCCUGAUGCAGCGACGCCGCGUGGAGGAAGAAGGUCUUCGGAUUGUAAACUCCUGUUGUUGGGGAAAAAGAGGAUGGUACCCAACAAGGAAGUGACGGCUAACUACGUGCCAGCACGCCGACGGUAAUCUGAGGCGGGCGUGGCGAAGGC
rnacentral:rRNA from 1 species